GACGAACGCUGGCGGCAUGCUUAACACAUGCAAGUCGAACGGCAAGGCCCUAAUUUUGUGGGGUGCCGGAGUGGCGACAGCGGGAGUAACAAGAGAGUAACCUGCUCUUGACUUUGGGGUAACUUAACGAAACUGGGCCUACUCUCGGAUAGGAGCUCCUGCUGCGUGGUGGGGGUUGGAAAGUUUCGGCGGUCGUGGUUGGACUAGCGGCUUAUCAGCUUGUUGGUGGGGUAGUGGCAUACCCAGGCUUUGACGGGUCGCCGGCCUGAGAGGGUGACCGGCCACAUGGGGACUGAGGGACGGCCCAGAGUCCAACGGGAGGCAGCGGGGGGGAACAUUGCACAAUGAGCGGGAGUCGGAGGCAGAAGCGCCGCGGUCGGAAUGACGUCCUUCUGGGUGUAAACCGCAUUCGCCUGAGACGAAGCGUGAUUGACGGUAAUGGGUAAAGAAGCACCGGCUAACUACGUG
rnacentral:rRNA from 1 species